rnacentral:rRNA from 1 species
GACGAACGCUGGCGGCGUGCCUAAUGCAUGCAAGUCGAACGCAGAGUGCUUGCACUCUGAGUGGCGCACGGCUGAGGAUCACGUGGGUACCUGCCCUCUCGUGGGGGAUAACAGCGCGAAAGCGGUGCUAAGCCCGCAUACGCUCGCCGUUGGUGAGGAAAACGUGCAAACGUGCGGGAGGAGGGGCCUGCGGCCCAUCAGGUAGUCGGCAGGGUAACGGCCCACCGAGCCGAUGACGGGUAGCUGGUCUGUGAGGACAGACAGCCAGACUGGGACUGAGACACGGCCCAGACUCCUACGGGAGGCAGCAGCAAGGAAUUUUCCCCAAUGGGCGCAAGCCUGAGGGAGCAACGCCGCGUGGAGGACGACGGCCUUCGGGUUGUAAACUCCUUUUCGGAGGGAAGAGAUGGAUGGUACCUCCGGAAUCAGCCCCGGCUAACUCUGUGCCAGCAGCCGCGGUAAAAC